GAUGAACGCUAGCGGCAGGCCUAAUACAUGCAAGUCGAACGGUGUAGCAAUACACAGUGGCGCACGGGUGCGUAACACGUAUGCAACCUACCUUACAUUGGGGGAUAGCCUUUCGAAAGGGAGAUUAAUACCGCAUAAGACAGUAACUAGGCAUCUAGUAGCUGUUAAAGAUUUAUCGAUGUAAGCUGGGCAUGCGUCCAAUUAGUUAGUUGGUGAGGUAACGGCCCACCAAGACGAUGAUUGGUAGGGGAACUGAGAGGUCAAUCCCCCACACUGGCACUGAGAUACGGGCCAGACUCCUACGGGAGGCAGCAGUAGGGAAUAUUGGGCAAUGGGCGCAAGCCUGACCCAGCCAUGCCGCGUGCAGGAAGAAGGCGUUAUGCGUUGUAAACUGCUUUUAUACAGGAAGAAACGACCCUUGCGAGGGGCAUUGACGGUACUGUAUGAAUAAGCACCGGCUAACUCCGUGCCAGCCGCCGCAGUAAUAC
rnacentral:rRNA from 1 species